UACGGGGGGGGCAAGCGUUGUUCGGAAUUACUGGGCGUAAAGGGCUCGUAGGUGGCCAACUAAGUCAGACGUGAAAUCCUCGGCUUAACCGGGGAACUGCGUCUGAUACUGGAUGGCUUGAGUUUGGGAGAGGGAUGCGGAAUUCCAGGUGUAGCGGUGAAAUGCGUAGAUAUCUGGAGGAACACCGGUGGCGAAGGCGGCAUCCUGGACCAACACUGACACUGAGGCGCGAAAGCCAGGGGAGCAAACAGG
rnacentral:rRNA from 1 species